CAGUAGCCGCGGGAAUACGGAGGGGGCUAGCGUUGUUCGGAAUUACUGGGCGUAAAGCGCACGUAGGCGGCUUUGUAAGUUAGAGGUGAAAGCCCGGGGCUCAACUCCGGAAUUGCCUUUAAGACUGCAUCGCUUGAAUCGCGGAGAGGUGAGUGGAAUUCCGAGUGUAGAGGUGAAAUUCGUAGAUAUUCGGAAGAACACCAGUGGCGAAGGCGGCUCACUGGACGCGUAUUGACGCUGAGGUGCGAAAGCGUGGGGAGCAAACAGGAUUAGAUACCCCCGUAGUCCCUGUCUCUUAUAC
rnacentral:rRNA from 1 species